UGCCUGUGGUGGAGAGUUGUCUCAUUGGCAAUUAUGUCAUAUCUUCCUUUUUAUAUUGGUGUUUUUCAUCGACGACAGAAUAGGCAAAUAUGUCUUAUUUAUCAAUAAAUUGUCAGUUACUUUUAUUUGGAAUGCAUUUCAAGAAAAAAGUCUCAAGUUGUUGAUAAAAUAAAAACAUGAGAAGAGUGUCCUUUUCUCACUGAGUCAAUGCAAAAUCUCAGGUUUCCAAUCAUCAAAACAAAAUCUUUUGAUGAAACGACUGAAAUUUAUUGUUUAAUAUUUAAUGUCUAAUUUCAAAAUCAUGCAAGAAAUAAUUAUACAAUGAAAUUAACACAAAUUUGACACGUUAACGAAUAUAGAUAAGAAACAAAAGAAUAAUACCAAUACCAAUCACAAACGCAAAUCUAUAUUUAGAAUAUCAAAGUCAUGUCAACUCAGUUCGUUUAAGGUCUGUUUGAUUCAUUCUCUUAUGUACCACUAAAUAAUUUCAUAGGGAAUCAUAAACAAAGUGUUCUAGAAACGUUGAAAUCGUUAUCAAAUAAAACGUGAAGCUAGUUUUUUUGCUGAUAUGCAUUUCAAUUCUUUUGAUGUUAUCAUGAUGAAUGAAUGACCUCAUUCAUUAAAUGAUUUCUCCAAAACAGCACCAACCGUUGAGUUACGUACCAACCGUACCAGAUACGUAGCAAAUCGGGAAACCUCUAGUAGAAGAAUACCGACGGACUUAAAUAUCGAAAUACGCAUGAACUUUGAGAAAUGGCUUAUUUUGAAUAAUUGAACGGACUGCCUUAACCCAUCUGCUCAUAUUAUACACCAAAUUAAAGCCUAUUAGCAGCCGAUCAAAAUAGCAGCCACUUCAAAAUCGAAAUCGAAACCGAAUAAGGAAAUGAAAAUCGAAAAAGGAAAAAGAAAACGAAUAAGGAAACGAAAAAAAGUCUUUUGAAAAAAAAUUUGAGGAAAAAAAAAUUUUAAAGAAAAAAAUAUUCAGUUUGGAAUUGUAAUAUUUUUUUUAUAAAAUUUGAAUAUCGAAAAAGGAAAUGGAAACUGAAUAAGGAAAUAGAAACCGAAUAAGGAAAUGAAUAUCGAAUAAAAAAAAAAAACGAAUAAGGAAUGAUAAUCGAAAAUGGAAUAAGAAAACGAAUAAGGAAACGAAAAAAAAUUUUGAAGAAAAACUUUUCGAGGAAAAAUAUUUUGAGGGAAAAAAAAAUGAGGAAAAAAAAUUGAUGAAAAAAAAUUUUGAGGAAAAAAAAAAUUUGAGGAAAAAAAAUUUGAGGAAAAAAAUUUUGAGGAAAAAAAAAAAUUUGAGGAAAAAAAAAUUUGAGGAAAAAAAAUUUUGAAGGAAAAAAAAAAUUCAGUUUGGACUUGUAAUAUUUUUCAAAAUUUGAAUAUCGAAAAAGGAAAUGAAAAUCGAAAAAGGAAAUAGAAACCGAAUAAGGAAAUAGAAACCGAAAAAGGAAAUGAAAAAAGGAAAUAGAAACCGAAUAAGGAAAUAGAAACCGAAAAAGGAAAUGAAUAUUGAAAAAGGAAAAAGAAACCGAAUAAGGAAAAAGGAACCGAAUAAGGAAAAAGAAACCAAAUAAGGAAAUGGAAAUUGAAUAAGGAAAUGAAAAUCCAAUAAGGAAAUAGAAACCGAAUAAGGAUCUAGAAACCGAAAAAGGAAAUGAAUAUUGAAAAAGGAAAAAGAAACCGAAUUAGGAAAUGAAAAUCGAAUAAGGAAAUGGAAAUCGAAUAAGGAAACGAAAAUCCAAUUAGGAAAUAGAAACUGAAUAAGGAAAUAGAAACCAAAAAAGGAAAUGAAUAUUGAAAAAGGAAAAAGAAACCGAAUAAGGAAAUGAAAAUCGAAUAAGGAAAUGGAAAUCGAAUAAGGAAAUGAAAAUCCAAUAAGGAAAUAGAAACUGAAUAAGGAAAUAGAAACCGAAUAAGGAAAUGAAUAUU
rnacentral:lncRNA from 1 species